rnacentral:rRNA from 1 species
AUUGAACGCUGGCGGCAGGCCUAACACAUGCAAGUCGAGCGGAUGAGUGGAGCUUGCUCUCUGAUUUAGCGGCGGACGGGUGAGUAAUGCCUAGGAAUCUGCCUGGUAGUGGGGAAUAACGUUCCGAAAGGAACGCUAAUACCGCAUACGUCCUACGGGAGAAAGCGGGGGAUCUUCGGACCUCGCGCUAGCAGAUGAGCCUAGGUCGGAUUAGCUAGUUGGUGAGGUAAAGGCUCACCAAGGCGACGAUCCGUAACUGGUCUGAGAGGAUGAUCAGUCACACUGGAACUGAGACACGGUCCAGACUCCUACGGGAGGCAGCAGUGGGGAAUAUUGGACAAUGGGCGAAAGCCUGAUCCAGCCAUGCCGCGUGUGUGAAGAAGGUCUUCGGAUUGUAAAGCACUUUAAGUUGGGAGGAAGGGUUGUAGAUUAAUACUCUGCAAUUUUGACGUUACCGACAGAAUAAGCACCGGCUAACUUCGUGCCAGCCGCCGCCGUAAGAC